GCUCGGGUCGCCUAGCCUGGAUAGGGCUCCGGCCUCCUAAGCCGGGUGUCUGGGGUUCGAAUCCCCACCCGAGCG
rfam:Euryarchaeota archaeon RBG_16_67_27 RBG_16_scaffold_43710, whole genome shotgun sequence.